AAGCUAAAACAUAUUUUUAGGUAUGGGAGAGAGUAAUUGCUCCUGGAAUAGAAAACCUCUGCUACACAGGGAUACGAUGUGGGCAGCUGCAGCAAUUUGCUGAAAAAUGUAUUGAAGGAGCAAUGGCUCAGUGCCUGCCCCAUGUCAGAUCUUCUACGUGACUGCCUGGAAAUUCCACAAAUUGCAGGUGAGACCUGCACAGAGAGGUUCUGCAAGAGUUUCAUUUGGAGAUCUGGCAAAAAUAGAUGAACUUGUUAGAAGAGGAGCAAAAUAGUUCUUUAUCAGAAAUGAAAGUUAUUUUCAAGCUCAUAUCAAACUUGUCAGUGCAGAUAGCCUCCACUUCUACUUAUUUUGUUACAACAUUUUGAAAUGAUAAUCUGCACGCAGCAAGGAAUUUCAAUGCCUGUGCUACAUCAACUAUGUAAAAUGGCAUUCUUUUUUUUUUCUACUGAAGUAUUUGAACGGUAAUCUAAGUAGUACAUGCUCUCCCAAUUUGAUUAAGUUACUUUUCUCAAAUGUAAUGCCUCUUCCAGUGUUUUAGAAGGACAAACUGCUGCAGGUAUGAUUUGCAAGUCUUGAGCAUACAUCACCCUGUAUUAUUUUCAAAUUCAUCCUGAAGGAUGGUAGAUCAUAAUAAACAAUAGUACUUGGUGACAAAUAAAUUUAAGGUAUACAAUGAGAGAAUAUCAGCAAAUGCACGGAUCUAACCAACUUAACGUGGUUUUUGUCUGUUGGAAAUUAUGGUUAAAAAGAUAUUGUCAGUUAGCAUUUGAAAGUUGAAUGUUUGACUUGCGUAAAGGGAAGUGAUUAAGUAAGUUCUGUAAAAAUAUCUUUAGUUCAUACUUUGUCCCUGCAACACACAGAUUCAAUUCUCCCUCCACCUGCGAACACAAAAAGAAUUGUUUCUGAACAUUGAGUAGGAGAGGGUAACCACAGAGAAGACUGAUGCUUCAUUCCACCUUUAACAGAAUGUAUCAUGAUUUGACUAAGUUUACUGAGAGAAAUAGCAAGCAGAAAAGUCAGCUAGCACACAGAUAGACUUGUACACUUCAAACUAAUUGGCUUACAAGUGGCAAUCUCUGGAGUUGGGAUUAUUGUGGAAUUGCAAGGAACUUUUAUACCAGUUGUAUAUUGUACUGUUUGACAAAUUAAAGGUGGUACUUAAAAUAUUAGUUAAAUCACGUUUCCAAACUUUUUGCUAUUCUGUUUUUAGAGGCUGAGAAUCGUGAAGUAUAUUUUCUACCUCCUUACCUGUUGCACAGGGCUAUAACUUUUCCUGUAUAUAGCUAUUUUUAGGAGUUGAUCUUAAUCAUGAAUAUGGCCCUUUAUCCUGAGGCGUUAAGAAAAAGUAAUUUACUAUACGAUUUCACUUGAUCGUAGUACUGGUAGGGAACUGUGGGAAGGAAAAGCAUGAAGAGUAUGUAAGUGUAUUGUUAAAACAGAUGUAUCAUUGUUUUAGGUGUUGUAUUAGCAGAAGUGUAAGAGAAAGCUUCUCUCGGCCUGCUGUAAGAAGAUUAUCCAGCAGGUGGAGUUUGUCAGGAUGGUGUGCACAGGACAAGUAGACAAGAAAACACUUUGAGAAGGACUCAGAAACAGGGCGUUUGGAAUGGAGAACUCAAACUGCACUGUAGGCUGAACUAAUGCCUGAGAUCUAAGUAUAGGUGAGAGGUGUAGAGUUCUGAAGCUGAAAGUGAAAAGACUGGGUCUGAUGUUAAACAUAAAGGAAUGACCAAACCGGAUGCCAAGAGGCGUUUUCAGCAGCAGUAUUGCCUGUACGCCAAAGAAACCAGAGAGACAAGCAGGAAAAUGGGUUGUUGGCUGGAAGUGAUAAGGCCCACCUUCAGCUGGACUGCUAAGACUGGGAGCUGGGAGUACAGUCAGCGUGCUUUAUGGCCGAUGGACCAGCUGAGGAAAAAUGCUCAAGAAUAAAAGCCCUCAGGAUGAGUACAAAGCAACAAAGAUCUUCAGAGUGACACAGUUUGUGGCUUUAAAAUAAUGGUAACUUCUUUCAGUUCCAGCUGGAAGACCCCAAAGGCCAAGAUUAACCCUGAAUACAACCUGUAGGUAAGGAGCAGGAGGUGGAGGAGCAUGUGGUGCUACAAAGGCUUGUGCUCAACCACAGCCCACCAAGUGUGGAAGAUGGAGGGAAGGGGGAGAAAACCAAUUAAUUGGUUAUUAUUAGAAACUAAUUACUGUAGAUACUGUGAAUCUUGCGAGAAGGAGUAGUGAAAUAGCUACUGUGCUUUUUAUUUAGAUUAAGUUGUAUUUCAGUCUCAAACUUAUGGGACAUUGAAGCCACAGACGCGUAACAUGCAUAUGCUGAAGCAUAGGUUUCGCUCCUUUAAAAAAUAGGGCUUGUAGGUGCAUGUGAUUGUACAUGUACAGCAAAUUCUUUUGUUUUCAAGACAAUCUUCUUUUAAUUUGGGCUUGAAACUGUGUCUUGCUGACUGUUCUGAUUUUAAACUACAAGUCUAAAGACUGGAUAAAGAUAGCCUUGCGUUAGUGCAGCAGCAGCAGAUGAAUCCCUGGUUUCUCAUGAAGGUGGUGAUAGCAGUGGGGGUUCUUAGCAAUGUCCAUGCUGAAAAAUACUUUCACCAGGGCAGAAUCAGACAGUAAUGAAUUAAUUCCAUUGUGCAGUUUAUCUACUUUGCUUGACAUGGGCCAUUCUUUUCUGGCAUUGUGUGGCAAUCAGAUGUUGCUGCAAAUUUUGCAAAUCUGCUUUGUAUGUAGUAUUUGUUUUCUUCUAGUACUGUCUACGUUUCCUACUCUAGAUCAUCUUUUCCUCUCUUGGGAAGUGCUCCCAGGGCGUUAGAUCUUUUGCUACUAAGAAUGCGAAGAGCCAAGGGACAGGUUCUGCCUUCAAGUUAUAUUGCUGUAUUUGGAGUGCAUACCCAGGCCAGAAGAGGAAACGUUCACCUCCCACCAUCAGUUAGGUGGCUUCAGAGUGCCAUGUAAUCAAACCUGUUUCCUUCUUUGACAUGAGUCUGAAGGCUGCCAGGUGCCCCAUGUGCUCUCUGCAUUGCCUCCAGCACAACAGAAGUGCUAUGGAAAUACAACAGAUCCCAUCAACGAUGUUGGGUAAACCAUGUGAUAUUCUCAAAAGGCUCACAGCUGUUACCCUCAGACCAAUGUGCACCAUCACUGAGCUUUUGCAAAGCUUUGCAAGGAGAGAGAAAACAGGAGAAAAAAAAGGAAAAAAAAAAAAGUGCAUUCUCUUUUGUCUCCUGCUUCUUCUUUUCUGUGAUUCAUGUAUCCUGAUGUAUUUUAUUAUAAAUAAAAGCUACAUUACAGUCUUCAUCAUUUUGGUGUGUUUUGCCUCUCUUCACAUCAAGGUCCUUAUUUAGAAGAUACCUGGAGCACAAUCUGUAAGUACUGGGAUGUUCUGUAAAAUUGAACAUGUCAGCCAAGUGCUUUAAGGAGACUUAUUGUAAUCUACUCGCUUUGUCUUUCUGCUUAUAGUUCCUGGAGGGAUUUUUAUGCCUCUAGGACAAAUUAUCUGAUGAACCUGGAAUAAAAAGUAGGACUUAGUCCUAGAGAACAAGAUUCCUAAUGGGUCUUUAAGUUCUGCAGCCAAAGCAUUUUUAUGAAGUAAGAAGCAGCACACGAGGCCUUCAGGUAAGACGUUUUCCUCGGUAUGUGUAGUAAUUGAAAAUGUAUUUUGAAAAUUCUGCCCUCACUUGAUAUUUGUUCUGCCAUCCAUUCUACUGCGUUGUCUUUAGAACUAUGUUUUCUGUACCAUGUUAUUGGACAGUGAUAAAUGUCUCAACAAAGUUAAAAAUUAAUGAAAAAAGGGCAAUGAGAUGUUGUACUUUUAUAAUGACUUAUCUGGCUUGUACGGAUAAGAUUGUGUAUGAAAUAUAAUAACGUUAUCAAUGUAAUCUAUGUUACUUUGGACAUUACCAUACUUAUGAUUCAUUAACAGUAACCAUUUUGCAAUGUAGCUUUUUGUACUGGUUAUGUUGCUUGGCAACAUCAACUCCAAGAUAAUGAUGUCUUACUGCCUGUGAUUAAAUAAUGCUUUUUCCCUGUAUUGUUUAUGAUACAUCUACCUUAUUUAUUUUCUUGUUUGCAAACUCUCUUCCUUAUUUUUCAUGCCAAAUAUAGCAAGGUAUGUAUACAUUCCUUGAAUAAUUCUAUGCUUAAAAUUCACAGCUUAUAGUCCCUUACUGAAGUGAAUGCAAAUAGCAAAAUAGUAUGAUGGAAAAACAAAACCAGUGCACAAUAAUGCGAAGAACAUAAAAUGGAGAAGCAGUCUGUAGAACUACCACUGAUACUGCUGGAUAAAUCCUUAAAAGCUUUUCAGCACAAGUGGGUUCCUAAUAACCAUGGAUAAUGCCCUAGUUCUGUGAUUUAAUUCUCCUCUUAAAUAAAUAAAUAGAAAGCUAUGGGGCUUGCCCAUAUGCAGCGCUCAACUUUGGAACUUGAACAAAAAAAGUGAAAUACUGUGCGGUAAAGGGGAGUAAAUGUCUUCUGAUGCUAUUAGUAGAUGGAUCAAUGUAGUUUAAUAGUAUUUACAGUAGUACGUUGGACCUCAGUGUUAACAGUAUUCUGAACUAACACACAUUAAAAUGGAUAUUGGGUGACUAUUGAACAUAUUUUAAAUGAUUAUCUUAAUUCCUGCAGAGCUUAUCACCAUGGUGACAGUGACAGAAAUUGAACAAAGAGGAAAAAAAUCAGAAUUGAUCCAUCCUAAAUGAGAUUCCAAUGGGAUCUACAGUCAUGCUUAAAAAUUGGGAGCCAAAUCUAAGAGUGACCGUUCCUCAGCUGAUAGUAUACCCCAUGUUUCCUCCAGGGAGGGGUUCUGUCUGCAGGUUUGGUCUCUGCAUCAUACAUUGCUUUCCAGAUGGCACCACCUGGGAAGUGAUGGUUUUGGCCUAGAUAGUAAGCUGUGUGCUUCCAAUAUACUGGCAUUAAAUCAGUAAUUCUUUGCAGUUUAGAGAUUUGUAACUGAAGUGUUAAUACUGGUAUGGAUGCAAUAUGAGUGGAAAUGUCUGACAGCACCAGAAAUUACAGCCAAGUAAAUGUUAAAAGCCUGGGACUUGUACUGAACACUUGGUGUGCUGCUCCCAGGGCUUUUCACCCAGGUUUGACGUUGAGGAAUAUGUUGUCUAAGUCUGCACGAGAACACCUGCCCUCUGCAAGGCUCCACAGCACAGAGGAAGACCCAGGAGGGUGGCAGCAAGUUGCAGCAGGUCACGCCAAUCAUUUGCAAUUUUCCAACAGGAGAAUGCACCCUUCAAACCAACGAGGAAAAGCAGAGGAUGCACAGAAAGCUUAGUUACGACCUCCAGAGCUACUGGAGUCAGAAACAAAGCACCAGCUGCCAAAACAGGAAGGAUAUUGCAGUCUCAGUACAAGCAGGCUUCUGCUUCUCCUGAAGAGAAAGAAUGGCCAAAUAAGGCUGUUUCUCAAAGACUGAAACCAGGGUGAGUAUAUAGGAUAUUUUCUAGCCUCCAGCUGCUGGGAAGCUCAGAGACCUCUUGACCUGAGUAUUUUCUAUGAAGUUGUCCUGUCUGUCCUUGUGCUCCUGUAAACUUAAUCUAUGUCAUUUUCUUCUUCCCUAAUAUGUUUUUGAAACAAUUUUAGUAAUAAAUAAUUAAUAGAAACAGACAUUUCAAUGUAUUUUAAAAAGACUGUCAAUCACUAUGUAAGUAAUAUCAUUCUACCUGCCAUCUGUAGUUACCGUUCAGAAAAUGACAAACGAUCAUCGAAUCUUGUCGACACAAAAUAGCAGUCUUUGCCAAAUUUGGAAAUAAUCUACAAUCCCAGCAUGUAACAGUAAAGUAGAAACAAGCAAAUGGGUAACACCAACUUGAAAUAAGCAGAACUGCGUUGGUAAUGCACUACUUGUAAAAAUCCAACCAUUAAUUUGAAUAAGAGGUGUUUCCGUCUUUUGUCUUUGUAUUGAGGUAGUUGGCUUUCUUUGGCUAGUUUAAUCAUUGCAUCACAGAAUGGAUGUAGCUGGGUUGGACCUCUGGAUUUCGGCAGUCACACAGAGCAGGGAGCCCAAGACCACAUCCCAAUGGGUUUUGAAGCUCCCUGAGGAUGGAAGCUCCGCGGUGAAGGAGGCAUUGAGUAGAUGGGACUUUUCUGUAUCCCAUGUCACCAGGUCCCCUGUCCUUCUCAGCAACAGCCCCGCAUUUUCCCUGGAUCUCUUUUUGCUAUUGAUGUACCUGUUGAAGCUCAUUGUCUUGUACUUCACAUCCCUCAACAGAUUCAACUCCAGAUGGGCCUCUGUUUAAAUGUAACAGGUGCACUGCGUUCAAUUGUAUUUAACUGGCUACUUCUGUGCGGGUGGGCGGCUACCAGGCGGACGGACAGAAGAUGAGCGAUGUUCGCGGCACUGCUAACUGCUGCUCUGGCUGUGGGGAUUGCAAGCUGGCAGGCAGCAGUGGAAGGACGAUUCAUGUUUCAUAUCUACAAGGCUGAACAUUUUGCUUCUCUUCAGGAACAGCAGGGAAAACACAGACUGAGAUAGCUGGUAAUUGACCGAUGAUUUCACUUGACCUGGAGGAUCUGUGAUUGUUGGAAGGUUUAAGGCCUCCAGAAUCAACAAGUAUAAGAAGUGAAUGCUAAUCAUGCUCACACCAAAGGCAGCAAUGUAAUAUCUUCUUGCUUCAUUGGAUGCAAUUGUACCAACAGCUACUGAGGUUUCUCCCCCAUUUCACCAAGAUGAGAAAACUGUGCAUGGGCUACCAGAGGAUAUCACCUGGACAAAAUGAAGACAUCGAGUAAAGACGGAGGAUAGCAAUGUACCCUUGAGAGCUGAUCUAAUCUGAAUACAAAAACGUGCUUUGUAAAGAGCACUUUCGUUCCGAUUUGAGCUGGGGAAAAGGCCAGCUCGGAGUAUUCUCUUCCACCAGUGGGUGUGGUAAGACUGUGGAUUUUGCUGUCAGGAAUUGCACCAUGACUGAAGAAUAUCAGCACAGGAGCUACGUUUGCUCCUCAGAGACUAGAACUUAAUACAAAAGCGAGUACUCCUGUGCACAGGAAGAGGAGGCACUUUUCACUGUUCCGUUUGUUUUACAGCACUGUCACAGUCUCUCCCUCUGCCAGGGGCAGCUUUAUUUCACCAGAAGACCAAUGAGCUCCCUCCUGACACAGCCUGAUACACGGUGCCCCAAAACACUGAAGAAAGAAACAGACUUUUCCUCUAUCGGCCUUCAGAAUUUUUACUGGAUAACCCAGUCACUGUUGAUGUUUUGCCGUGAGUGAGAACACUGAGACUUGCUACUCGCACAAGUCCAUUAGCCAGCGAUUCCUGAGUGCAGAUCUCCGGGCAGUUAGUUCCUCAGUGUGUGCUGCUCCUUUCAAUUCUAAGCUGAGAGGCAGUUCUGUGUAUCAUGUAAAACACGGUAACCUCGAGUACCUCACUAUGCUUUCAUGCUCUUCCAUAGCAUAAUUUAUUGCCAUUUUAUAUCAGAUCACUUGAGGUUUUUUUUUUCUUACUGUGCUGUUUUUUGCUCCUGUGCUUAUUGAAAGUUUCAUGCGUCGUUUACUUAAUAAAAAAAGGUGCUGGGAUGAGGAAAAAAAUCUGCCCAGAAAUGCCAUGGUUUUGCAAUGUAGGUCUGGCGGACAGAGCCAGAGUCACAGGCCGAAUAUAAGGAGCGUGCUCCGGACCAGGGAUAUCUUUUCCACGCGGCCCAGCUGGACUCAGCCCCCGAGACAAGGGGCGGGCAGCUCCCAGUUGCCGAGCGUGCCCAAGUCGAGCCGGAGUUCGGGAGGCUCAGCGGGCGGCUACACGCAGUCCCGCCCAGCCCCGCCAGCCCGCCGGGCGCUCC